CUCUGGCACCGACCGGAUCCCUGGCACUGAGCUCGGCCGCGCCCGGGACCCAGCCGGAGCCCUCGGGCCCAUCGUGGGGAGAUUUCAGGUUAAUUGAACAGCGCUGGAACAUAAUUUAAUAUUGAGUGAGUUGUUAAUUAUUUUUUACAUUUAAUUAACAAUGCUUAAACAUAGUGUAUAUUAAUAUAGAGCAUGUUUAGCCGUUAGAAUACAUUUGUAAUAUAAAACCAAAAAUGAAAUAUAGGAUAUAGAUAGUCUAUAUUAUAUUAUAUUAUA